rnacentral:lncRNA from 1 species
CUGGCAGAUAGUGGCUGUGAUCUGGAGUUGUGUGCUGGGUGGGUCUGAUAAGAGUUCAUAACUUGAACUAGGUUAAGGCUGAAAGCAGAACUCAAUGCUUUAAGGAGGUAGUUUUCUGGAAGAAUAAGGCAAGGUGGGAGUGGAGAAUGGUGAGUGAAGCCCAGGGAAGCCAGCACACCCAGACUUGCUGCUUGCAGACCAUCCAUUAAAUAUUAUUUAUUAGUUAUUUAUUUCAAAUGAUUUAUACACGGCUUGUUUUAAAAAAAAAACAUUCAAAGGGGUUUACAACCAGAUAAAACAAUAAAAUCAAAUAUGUAUUCACACAAUCCUUAAUCAAGCAGUGCCCAGAGGUGGAUAACUUGUGGUCCCUCAGGAAAGAUGCUGGACUACUAUGAAUUCUUAAGACUAGGCCAGGCACACUCUUGAUUUUGAAUAUGCUGUUUGUGCAUAUUGCCUGCAUAUUACAGGUGAUGGUGGUGGCGUUUGUCACAUUGGAAACAUUCUCUCUCUCCCCCUACCUAAAAAUAAAUGCCCCAGCAUUUGUUAAGGAGUUUCUUACCAGUGAUGAGGUUAUGAAACAAUGAUUUGUUUUUCACCCAGACAGUUGCAUAGUUAUGAAGACAAUCCCUUUUCCAUCUCUACAAAUUAUUUUGUUACUUUCCUGGCUUGGGUAUUUUACCUGUAUGCUAAUGAUGACUGGGAUAUGGGUAAUAAGGUGGAGAGGCCGUCAUCUUUCUAGCAAGCAAGUUAAUUCAAUUUAGGCUUGGCUGAUUUUGCAGCCUCUGGCAAUUUCACUUUAGCCAUCUCGGUGUGUGUGUUGUUUUUUUUUAAAAAAUAUUUUAUUAAGGAUUUUCUUGUUUUACAGAAGUGUAGUGCCUCGUAUUUUUUUUUUCAUGUAACAUUUUUACAAAUCCGUUUCAUUUGUUGAGGCAUUAGGGGGAGAAGAAAAAAAAAAGAAAAAAGAAAAAAGGGGGGUGGAUAGAGGGAAGAUGGGUGGGGGUGGGGUCAGGUGGCGGUGUUUCUAGUAUGUUUAAUGUAUGUAGAGUUUGGUGUCAGCGUUGCUUGUGUUGUUCACUUGUGUUCCUUUGGUGGUGAGAGAGGUUGGGGUUGGCCUAGGGUGUGAUUGUUUGCUUGUGAUUGGCUGUGGUGAUCUUUGUUUUCGUGUGUGAGUGAGGUGGGUGGGUGUUUUGGAUCAGGUUAGCCAUAUUGAUUUGUAUGCUGUUGGUGGAUUAUUGUCAUUGUCCUGUUGGGCUGUGUAUGUGAUAAAUGGGAGCCAUACCGGGGUGAAGGCGUCUUCUUGACAACCUGACAGCAGUGCUUCGGUGUACAGAGACACAGCAAAACCAAGAAUCACUGUGCAUGGCAUUUGUUUGGAGGGUGCUACUGAAAAUGUUGUACAUUUAGAAAAGUAUAUGCUGUUUGGAUUUCCAUUCUUAAAUCCACUGUGUGAGAUCAGGGGAGGGAGAGGCGCAGAAAAUAGGAAAGUUCCUAUUGGUGGUGAUGUCAGAGAAUCCCAACAAAAAUGGAAACAGAAGCAGCAAACAUAUCUACCUUCUGCCCCAUUUAUAUGCAGAGGAAGGUGAUGGAGGGCUGGUGAAGGACCCUGUGUGAGAGGCAGGGAAGGGAAGAUCUCCCAGUUAGGAAGGCUGAGAGAAGAAAGGGAAGCUCCCAGGUGAGAGCUGGAAGGAUCUACCUCUUUCUGUGUGAGACAAGGGUUAAGAUCUACUUUUGAGAGAGGACCUUGCAUUUUUCUUCCUUUUCCCAGCCAGUGUGGUGUAGUGGUUAAGAGCGGUAGACUCGUAAUCUGGUGAACCGGGUUCGCUUCCCCGCUCCUCCACAUGCAGCUGCUGGGUGACCUUGGGCCAGUCACACUUCUCUGAAGUCUCUCAGCCCCACUCACCUCACAGAGUGUUUGUUGUGGGGGAAGAAGGGAAAGGAGAAUGUUAGCUGCUUUGAGACCCUAGGGUAGUGAUAAAGCGGGAUAUCAAAUCCAAACUCUUCUUCUUCUUCCUUUUUCUGUUUUCAUUUAGAUUAGCUUGGUUUUUUAAAUUAUAUUACCUUAUGUAAAACCUCAAUAAAAUCUUAUUUUUAAAAAAAUUAA